rnacentral:lncRNA from 1 species
AGAGCAUCUGGGCUUAAGCCGGUUCAGCUUCAGAGGUGGGUUUCGGAAGUCUGUGGCGGACCACGGCAGCAAGUCGUCACUCACCGUACAAGCCUUUCCAUUUCUGAGAAUAUAAAAAACUUAAGCAUGCGGCGUUCGGAGUGUAGAUUGCUUUGUAGUAUUCCAAAGCAGCGCUGAUCGUGGGCAGAGGAGCAGAUAUGUGCAACAGAAACUACUCACUGGAACUCUUCUGGACUUCUGUCCUCUGUAAUGCAAGUGUCUGCCCUCACUCUGGCUGCUGUGCUGUUGGAAUACUUGGAACACCGGUGCUCAUCUUUCACUGUCCUCCACAGAGCAUGCCUCAGGACUGUAGGCAGCCUGUUUAUGACUUUGUAAGACUACCCCUGGGAAGGAGGGACAGACAGACCUAAAGAAUUCCCUAACAGUUCUGACUAAACUUUCCAUUUAUUUGCUUGCAAAUAACAGGAUGUCACUUUUCCCAAUAGCUAAAUAAUACUCCAUUGUAUAAAAAUACUACAUUUUCAUUAUCCAUUAUUGGGUUGAGGAAGAACUAGUUUGUUUCCUGUUUCUGGCUAUUAUGAAUAAAAGUCACCUUGAACAUGAUUGAGCAAGUGUAUUUGUUGAUGGGAUGGACUUUUUUUUUUUAAGUGGGGUGUAUAUGCCCAAGAGUGAUAUAGCUCUAUCUUAUGGUAACUUUUUAUUUUCCAAAACCCAGAAAAAGAAAAUAUUUCAUUGUGAGUGAGAACACUCAAAUAUAUAGGACUAUACUUCUGAAAGCCCUUCUCUCUGACAUUUUAUCCAAUAGCUGAAACACAACAAUUGAAAUAUAACUUCUGGCUAUAAUAAACAAGAAUGGGAUUGUUCUCAUUUCCAUCUGUGGUUAAAACAAGUGUUCACAGGACCUGUCACCUAACAUAGAGAAGAUUGGCAGCCAGAACGACUUGGAUACCCCACCUCCAUUACCCACUGUGGUCACAGCAUGAAGCCAUGACUGGCUCUUUAGUUGUAUGCCAUGAAAUGGAAAUCUCAUUUUCAUGCUUGUGCACUAAUCCUAAAAGUAUCAUAUUCCCAAAUACUUUUUUUUUUGUUUUCUGUAUUCCCAAAUACUUGAUUUAUUUUCUUAAUGGAGUUUGUAGGCCAAUAAGUUACUUCUACUCAUUUUAUCAUUUCAAUAUGGUUAUUUCAUAUUCUGAGGAUUGGUUGAAAAAGAUCAUAGUUAUAAGAGUACAGGUUCCAAUCUCAAAUAUAAAAUCUAUACAUGGAAUCUUUACUAAUUUUUUAACUGCAUUAUUUCUUUAUGUUACUAUGCCUCCUACCACCUUCACCUCAUUUAUGUUCAAAUCAGCAAUAUUAUUCAUAUUAAAAACAUAGGCUUUUUAGCUCUC